rnacentral:rRNA from 1 species
AUUGAACGCUGGCGGCAUGCUUUACACAUGCAAGUCGAACGGUAACAGGUCUUCGGAUGCUGACGAGUGGCGAACGGGUGAGUAAUACAUCGGAACGUGCCUAGUAGUGGGGGAUAACUACUCGAAAGAGUAGCUAAUACCGCAUGAGAUCUACGGAUGAAAGCAGGGGACCUUCGGGCCUUGUGCUACUAGAGCGGCUGAUGGCAGAUUAGGUAGUUGGUGGGGUAAAGGCUUACCAAGCCUGCGAUCUGUAGCUGGUCUGAGAGGACGACCAGCCACACUGGGACUGAGACACGGCCCAGACUCCUACGGGAGGCAGCAGUGGGGAAUUUUGGACAAUGGGCGAAAGCCUGAUCCAGCAAUGCCGCGUGCAGGAUGAAGGCCCUCGGGUUGUAAACUGCUUUUGUACGGAACGAAAAGCCUGGGGCUAAUACCCCCGGGUCAUGACGGUACCGUAAGAAUAAGCACCGGCUAACUACGUGCCAGCAGCCGCGGUAAUACGUAGGGUGCAAGCGUUAAUCGGAAUUACUGGGCGUAAAGCGUGCGCAGGCGGUUUUGUAAGACAGUGGUGAAAUCCCCGGGCUCAACCUGGGAACUGCCAUUGUGACUGCAAGGCUAGAGUGCGGCAGAGGGGGAUGGAAUUCCGCGUGUAGCAGUGAAAUGCGUAGAUAUGCGGAGGAACACCGAUGGCGAAGGCAAUCCCCUGGGCCUGCACUGACGCUCAUGCACGAAGCGUGGGGAGCAA